rnacentral:rRNA from 1 species
CUCCUACGGGAGGCUGCAGUGGGGAAUAUUGGACAAUGGGCGCAAGCCUGAUCCAGCCAUGCCGCGUGGGUGAAGAAGGCCUUCGGGUUGUAAAGCCCUUUUGUCCGGAAAGAAAAGUUCUGGGUUAAUAACCCAGGAUCAUGACGGUACCGGAAGAAUAAGCACCGGCUAACUUCGUGCCAGCAGCCGCGGUAAUACGAAGGGUGCAAGCGUUACUCGGAAUUACUGGGCGUAAAGCGUGCGUAGGUGGUGGUUUAAGUCAGAUGUGAAAGCCCUGGGCUCAACCUGGGAACUGCAUUUGAUACUGGAUCACUAGAGUGCGGUAGAGGAUAGUGGAAUUCCCGGUGUAGCAGUGAAAUGCGUAGAGAUCGGGAGGAACACCAGUGGCGAAGGCGGCUAUCUGGACCAGCACUGACACUGAGGCACGAAAGCGUGGGGAGCAAACAGGAUUAGAUACCCUGGUAGUCCACGCCCUAAACGAUGCGAACUGGAUGUUGGGAGCAACUUGGCUCUCAGUAUCGAAGCUAACGCGUUAA